AUUUAUAACUUAAAUUAGUCCUCAUGAGAGCUUUCGUGAUCAAAAUCGUUAUUUUUAGGUUACAGCUAGAACUUUAGGGAGGUGCUGAUUGGUGCAAAUGCUUUAGACAAUUUCAGAUCGAAUGUAUUCUUCUUUUCAUGAUAAAAUCGAAUGUAUUCUUCUUUUCAUGAUAAAAUCGAAUGUAUACUUCUGUACGAUGAAUCUUCGAUUUUAUUUUCCUUUGAACGCAAAUGUAGACGAUGUUAUUAGUACGUAACUAGCCUGAUCGGCAUUUCUGUAAUCAGUUUUCGAUCGUGUGAUGCAGAACCGGAA
rnacentral:lncRNA from 1 species